GCCGGUGUCACAUAGUGGUUUGAGUGUUGGAUUAUAACUCUGGAGACUAGGGUUCGAUUCCCAGCUCGGACA